CAAUAGCGUAUAUUAAAGUUGUUGCAGUUAAAAAGCUCGUAGUUGGAUUUCGGGGUGGCCUGGCUGGUCCGCCGCAAGGUGAGUACUGGUCAGCCGCCCUUCCUCUCGAAAGCCCCGACUGCUCUUUACUGCAGUGGUCGGGUAGUUCGGGACGUUUACUUUGAAAAAAUCAGAGUGUUCAAGGCAGGCUAUCGCCUGAAUACAUUAGCAUGGAAUAAUGGAAGAGGACCUCGGUCCUAUUUUGUUGGUUUCUAGGGCCGAAGUAAUGAUUAAGAGGGACAGUUGGGGGCAUUCGUAUUUAAUUGUCAGAGGUGAAAUUCUUGGAUUUAUGAAAGACGAACUAGUGCGAAAGCAUUUGCCAAGGAUGUUUUCAUUAA
rnacentral:rRNA from 1 species